GCAGAUCAUCCGCUUCUCCACCGCUACCUCCGAGCAACCAAAUUGGGGAGAAGUGUCCAGCACUUGCCACAAACUGCCGCGCGUUAGCCCGGAAGUCGGCGCGCCUCACGGCCAGGACCACUUCAGCCCGGACCCGAAGUCGGCGUGCAUUACCCGAUGCGUCGGCAUCAUCACCGGGAUGUACGACGACGAGACGGGGAUCAGCAUGGAGCAACUGAGGGCUUGGUGGGUCGACGAGGAUACCGAUGCCGAUUUCCAGGAAUUCAAGGGUCGCUAUUUGGCAUGUGCUGGGUCGAUCGUGCCGGAACAGUACGGAGACGAUUACUGCAAGAAGAGCUCCAAGCUUUACGAGUGUUUUAUGCAAAGUGGGAUGACAGUGGCUUAAGAGUUUAUUUUUGUUGCUGACGGUUUGAUAAAAAGUAUUCUCUACCGAUAAAAUUUAGACAAAUUUUGUUCAAUCAAAUGAGAGAAAUAGAAAUAAAGACGGUUCGUUUUCACAUUGAAACUUAAA